rnacentral:pre_miRNA from 1 species
GGAAACUUAGAAACUAUCUUUGGAUCGAAAAAUGGACGUCUGACAUUCGUCCACGCCAUCACGAGUAAAAAUUUUACUCACGGAUUUACUCAUAAGUAAAGAUUUUACCUUGAGUAUUUUUACUCGUAAUGACGUGAACAAAUCUUAGACGUCCAUUUUUUAUCCAACGGUAGUUUUCAAGAUUUC